GCUUGCUCCCCGCUGACGAGCGGCGGACGGGUGAGUAAUGCAUAGGAAACUGCCCAGUAGUGGGGGAUAGCCCGGGGAAACCCGGAUUAAUACCGCGUACGCCCUUCGGGGGAAAGCAGGGGAUCUUCGGACCUUGCGCUAUUGGAUGUGCCUAUGUCGGAUUAGCUAGUUGGUGGGGUAAAGGCCUACCAAGGCGACGAUCCGUAGCUGGUCUGAGAGGAUGAUCAGCCACAUCGGGACUGAGACACGGCCCGAACUCCUACGGGAGGCAGCAGUGGGGAAUAUUGGACAAUGGGGGCAACCCUGAUCCAGCCAUGCCGCGUGUGUGAAGAAGGCUUUCGGGUUGUAAAGCACUUUCAGUGAGGAGGAAAAGUUGGUCGUUAAUACCGGCCAGCCUUGACGUUACUCACAGAAGAAGCACCGGCUAACUCCGUGCCAGCAGCCGCGGUAAUACGGAGGGUGCAAGCGUUAAUCGGAAUUACUGGGCGUAAAGCGCGCGUAGGUGGUUUGAUAAGCGAGAUGUGAAAGCCCCGGGCUUAACCUGGGAACGGCAUUUCGAACUGUCAGGCUAGAGUAUGGUAGAGGAGUGUGGAAUUUCCUGUGUAGCGGUGAAAUGCGUAGAUAUAGGAAGGAACACCAGUGGCGAACGCGGCACUCUGGACCAAUACUGACACUGAGGUGCGAAAGCGUGGGGAGCAAAACAGGAUUAGAUACCCUGAUAGUCCACGCCGUAAACGAUGUCUACUAGCCGUUGGGACUCUUGAAGUCUUAGUGGCGCAGCUAACGCACUAAGUAGACCGCCUGGGGAGUACGGCCGCAAGGUUAAAACUCAAAUGAAUUGACGGGGGCCCGCACAAGCGGUGGAGCAUGUGGUUUAAUUCGACGCAACGCGAAGAACCUUACCUGGCCUUGACAUGCAGAGAACUUUCCAGAGAUGGAUUGGUGCCUUCGGGAACUCUGACACAGGUGCUGCAUGGCCGUCGUCAGCUCGUGUCGUGAGAUGUUGGGUUAAGUCCCGUAACGAGCGCAACCCCUAUCCCUAGUUGCUAGCAGUUCGGCUGAGAACUCUAGGGAGACUGCCGGUGACAAACCGGAGGAAGGUGGGGAUGACGUCAGGUCAUCAUGGCCCUUACGGCCAGGGCUACACACGUGCUACAAUGGCGCGCACAGAGGGCUGCAAACCCGCGAGGGGGAGCCAAUCUCACAAAACGCGUCGUAGUCCGGAUCGCAGUCUGCAACUCGACUGCGUGAAGUCGGAAUCGCUAGUAAUCGUGAAUCAGAAUGUCACGGUGAAUACGUUCCCGGGCCUUGUACACACCGCCCGUCACACCAUGGGAGUGGAUUGCACCAGAAGUGGUUAG
rnacentral:rRNA from 1 species